GGAAGAGCGACGUCCCCGGUGGGAUGCCUGGUCUUCAAAACCAGUGAGGUGCUCAUCGCGCCUGGUGGGUUCGACUCCUACCUCUUCCGCCA
rnacentral:tRNA from 1 species